rnacentral:rRNA from 1 species
UGCUCAAUGAUUUUUUAAAUUGCUGUAGUAUUUUGACUAUACAAAGGUAUUGAAAUAAGACUUUAAUUGAGUGCUAAAAGAAUGGAUUAACGGAAAAAUUCUUUUUUAAUUUCAAAAAUUGAAGUUAUUUUUGUCAGUGAAGAAACUACAAUAAAAAUUAAGGACAAGAAGACCCUAAGAAUUUUUAAUAAUUUUAAAAAAGUUUUUUUUAAAUUAUUUUAAUUGGGGCGAUUAACAAAAAUAAGAAACUUUAUUUUUCCAAAAAAAUGAACCAUUAAUAAUGGUCAUAUGAAAAAAAUACUCUAGGGAUAACAGCGUAAUAAUUUUAGAUAGUUCUUAUAGACAAAAUAGUUUGCGACCUCGAUGUUGGAUUAGGAUUCUUAUUUAAUGAAGAAGUUAAAAAAAGAAGUUUGUUCAACUUUUAAAGUCCUACUUGAUCUGAGUUCAGACCGGA